rnacentral:rRNA from 1 species
CACCAGCCCCUCGAGUGGUGGGGAUGAUUAUUUGGCCUAAAGCGUCCGUAGCCGGCCGGGUAAGUUUCCCGUUAAAUCCAACGUCUCAAGCGUUGGACUGCGGGAAAUACUGCCUGGCUAGAGAGUGGGAGAGGUCAGCGGUAUUCUGGGGGUAGGGGCGAAAUCCUUUGAUCCCCGGAGGACCACCAGUGGCGAAGGCUGCUGACUAGAACACGUCUGACGGUCAGGGACGAAAGCUGGGGUAGCGAACCGGAUUAGAUACCCGGGUAGUCCCAGCCGUAGACGAUGCAUGCUAGGUGUUGGGUUGGCCACGAGCCACCCCAGUGCCGCAGGGAAGCCGUUAAGCAUGCCGCCUGGGAAGUACGAUCGACAAGAUUAGAAACUUAAAGGAAUUGGCGGGGGAGCACCACCGAGGCGUAGAAGCCUGCGGUCU